CCCAUUUAGAGUAGAACAGAUGAUAAAGCAGGGUAUGCUUUUGGGCAUGGCCCACACUGACAACACUGAUUAGAUAAUGCAACUGGCAUAAACCCAGAUUCACUGAGUGUAGCCAUAGCCAUGGCCAUCACUAUUGCAGUGUGUUUUCAGUUCAUUAAAGUUAAUUGUAACAUUUUGGUCACCUAAAAGUCUUGUUCAGCAUUUGGUUCUACUAAGAGACCCUCUAAGGUGGAUGUUCAGUUUUUCCGUGCUCAAGGCCAGGAGAGAAACGCCCAGAGACUGAUUUGUUGGACAGCUGAAUUAGUGGGUGGCUUGAGUUUGGCUCUGAACACAAACACAGCCAUUGAGAGAGCGAUCAGGGGGAUAUCCCAGCAGAGUGCAGCGCUGUAGUACAGGGGGAUAUGACUCAGCAGGUGUGAUGUCACACUGGCUCUGCAUGAUGCAGGAAGGGGAAGACCACCUCACGACUGGCCGUGUUGAAGCAAUCACAGCAGACUUUGUUGGGUGAGUUUAUUUCCCAGAACCCGGCUACCCAAGGGUAUAUUCUCUGCUUGUGUGUGCUUUUAAGUUUACGUACAAACCCCCUGCUUACAUAAUCAAUUACUUUCAACCAUCACUUUUUUUGGACAGUAAAAAUCAGCUAAAGGGAAUCUAGAACUCAAGAGUUUCACUGACCGUUUGCAUCAUUAUUGAGUCAGAUUGUGACCUAUGACAUCACAAGGAGUGAUGGGAAUGAGCGAAAAUUUGCCAUGUUCAAUACUUGCACACCCUGCUCCACCAAGACAUGGUGCAUGUGUGAGUGAGUGGAAUAUUGGACCACAAUGCGUUGAUGGUACAUACAUUUCUAUGAAGAUGACCUUUGAGAAAGUCCAAAAUGGCUUCAAGUAUCCACAGUAUCAAGAUAGG